rnacentral:rRNA from 1 species
CCUACGGGUGGCAGCAGUGGGGAAUAUUGCACAAUGGGGGAAACCCUGAUGCAGCGACGCCGCGUGAGUGAAGAAGUAUUUCGGUAUGUAAAGCUCUAUCAGCAGGGAAGAAAAUGACGGUACCUGACUAAGAAGCCCCGGCUAACUACGUGCCAGCAGCCGCGGUAAUACGUAGGGGGCAAGCGUUAUCCGGAUUUACUGGGUGUAAAGGGAGCGUAGACGGCCAGACAAGUCAGAAGUGAAAGCCCAGGGCCCAACCCCGGGACUGCUCUUGGAACUGCGUGGCUGGAGUGCAGGAGGGGCAGGCGGAAUUCCUGGUGUAGCGGUGAAAUGCGUAGAUAUCAGGAGGAACACCGGUGGCGAAGGCGGCCUGCUGGACUGCAACUGACGUUGAGGCCCGAAAGCGUGGGGAGCAAACAGGAUUAGAUACCCGGGUAGUC